rnacentral:rRNA from 1 species
GAUGAACGCUAGCGGGAGGCUUAACACAUGCAAGUCGAGGGGAAUCCCUAGCAAUCGGGAGAGACCGGCAGACGGGUGCGUAACGCGUAUGCAACCUGACUUAUGCAGGGGGAUAGCCCAUGGAAACGUGGAUUAAUACCCCAUAUUAUAUAAAUUCCGCAUGGCACUUAUCGGAAAAUUGAGUUGGAAUAAGAUGGGCAUGCGUCUGAUUAGCUAGAUGGCAGGGUAACGGCCUACCAGGGGGACGAUCAGUAGGGGUCCUGAGAGGGUUACCCCCCACACUGGCACUGAGACACGGGCCAGACUCCUACGGGAGGCAGCAGUGAGGAAUAUUGGGCAAUGGGCGGAAGCCUGACCCAGCCAUCCCGCGUGCAGGACGAAGGCCCUAUGGGUUGUAAACUGCUUUUCCUGGGGGAGAAACCCCCGCACGAGUGCGAGGCUGACGGUACCCAGGGAAUAAGCAUCGGCUAACUCCGUGCCAGCCGCCGCCGUAA